UGGCCCUUGGUGUAAUUGGUAACACACCUGAUUCUGAUUCAGGCAUUCGGGGUUCGAGUCCCUGAGGGCCAACCA
rnacentral:tRNA from 1 species